rnacentral:tRNA from 1 species
AGUGUAGUUCAGUGUUAGAGCACUUGCCUAGCAUCCAUGAAGUCCUGGGUUCAAUUCCCAGCACU